UACGAAGGGGGCUAGCGUUGUUCGGAAUUACUGGGCGUAGAGCGUGCGCAGGCGGCUUCUCAAGUCAGGGGUGAAAGCCCAGAGCUCAACUCUGGAAUUGCCUUUGAGACUGAGUGGCUUGAGUACGAGAGAGGUGAGUGGAAUUCCCAGUGUAGAGGUGAAAUUCGUAGAUAUUUGGGGAAGAAACACCGGUGGCGAAGGGCGGCUCACUGGCUCGUAACUGACGCU
rnacentral:rRNA from 1 species